rnacentral:misc_RNA from 1 species
CGUCAAUCUGGGCAAGGUUCCUCAAGAAUACAGAGAGCACAAAGGAUUCUCGGAGUGGAAUUCGACUGUGACUCCAAGGAACCACCAACCGAUUAUCCAGAUUUUAAUCGAUGGUCGAGACGAAGGUGCAGUAGAUAUGGAAGGAAACAAGCUACCAACUCUGGUGUACAUGGCCCGAGAAAAGAGACCACAACAUCCCCAUAAUUUCAAAGCCGGGGCAAUGAAUUCCUUGAUACGAGUGUCAUCAGUGAUCAGCAAUAAUCCAAUUAUUCUAAACGUGGAUUGCGACAUGUACUCUAAUAAUUCAGAGUCAAUUAAAGAUGCAUUGUGCUUCUUUCUUGAUGAGGGGAAGGGUCAUGAGAUUGGUUUUGUACAAUUUCCUCAGAGUUUUGACAAUAUCACCAAAAAUGAUCUUUAUGCCAACUCUAUGCAUGUGAUUUAUGCGGUUGAAAUCCAUGGGAUGGAUAGCUGGGGAGGACCGUUGUACAUUGGCACCGGAUGUUUCCACAGGAGAGAGAGUUUAUGUGG